GACGUAGGGCGCGAGCGUUGUCCGGAUUUAUUGGGCGUAAAGAGCUCGUAGGCGGCUUGUCGCGUCGUUCGUGAAAACUUGGGGCUCAACCCCAAGCUUGCGGUCGAUACGGGCAGGCUGGAGUUCGGUAGGGGAGACUGGAAUUCCUGGUGUAGCGGUGAAAUGCGCAGAUAUCAGGAGGAACACCGGUGGCGAAGGCGGGUCUCUGGGCCGAUAUUGACGCUGAGGAGCGAAAGCGUGGGGAGCGAACAGG
rnacentral:rRNA from 1 species